rnacentral:rRNA from 1 species
GAUGAACGCUGGCGGCGUGCCUAAUACAUGCAAGUCGAGCGAACAGACGAGGAGCUUGCUCCUCUGACGUUAGCGGCGGACGGGUGAGUAACACGUGGAUAACCUACCUAUAAGACUGGGAUAACUUCGGGGAAACCGGAGCUAAUACCGGAUACCAUGUUGAACCGCAUGGUUCAACAUUGAAAGACGGUUUUGCUGUCCCUUAUAGAUGGAUCCGCGUCGCAUUAGCUAGUUGGUAAGGUAACGGCUUACCAAGGCAACGAUGCGUAGCCGACCUGAGAGGGUGAUCGGCCACACUGGAACUGAGACACGGUCCAGACUCCUACGGGAGGCAGCAGUAGGGAAUCUUCCGCAAUGGGCGAAAGCCUGACGGAGCAACGCCGCGUGAGUGAAGAAGGUCUUCGGAUCGUAAAACUCUGUUAUUAGGGAAGAACAAAUGUGUAAGUAACUAUGCACGUCUUGACGGUACCUAAUCAGAAAGCCACGGCUAACUACGUG